rnacentral:rRNA from 1 species
UGGGGAAUAUUGGACAAUGGGCGCAAGCCUGAUCCAGCCAUGCCGCGUGAGUGAAGAAGGCCUUCGGGUUGUAAAGCUCUUUUGUCCGGAAAGAAAAGCCUUCGGUUAAUACCCGGGGGUGAUGACGGUACCGGAAGAAGAAGCACCGGCUAACUUCGUGCCAGCAGCCGCGGUAAUACGAAGGGUGCAAGCGUUACUCGGAAUUACUGGGCGUAAAGCGUGCGUAGGUGGUUCGUUAAGUCUGAUGUGAAAGCCCUGGGCUCAACCUGGGAAUGGCAUUGGAAACUGGCGACCUAGAGUGCGGUAGAGGGUAGUGGAAUUCCCGGUGUAGCAGUGAAAUGCGUAGAGAUCGGGAGGAACAUCCGUGGCGAAGGCGACUACCUGGACCAGCACUGACACUGAGGCACGAAAGCGUGGGGAGCAAAC